rnacentral:tRNA from 1 species
GUUUACAUAGUUUAAUAGUAAAACAUUACAUUUUCACUGUAAAAAUAAAACUACUUUUGUAAAUA